AAAGGAGGAAGCAGAAGAGCGGGGUGGAAACAAGCAGGACGGUGUUUUUCAAUGGUGGAGCUGGUCCAUGCCAGCUGUACGCCUGUGCAAAGCAGGAGGCUGCAGGCUGGAGUCCCGUCACAUCAGCCUCACGGCCUCCGAGCUCCUCCCCUCCCUCUCCUGGAUCCCACCUCUUUGCUCAUGUGGCCACUGACAGCCCAACAACAUUCCUUGUGAUUUCUAACCAUAAUUAUCACUUCUCAUGCGUGAAUGCCGAACAAGAUGCAGCGACCAGGAAGAUGAGAAAACGCGCUUCCAUUUUCCAGAAAAUCAAGUUCAGACGGAGAACUGAGUCAAACCAGUACAGAGACACCUUUCGACCUUUGUGAUUCCUCAGACCUACCCUUACUACACUGGCAUGCAGAGAUACGUCAGAGGAAAGGGAGUUUAAAACGAGGAGCAAGCAAGCUAGGUCUCGCUUUCAUUCAUACACACAGCAGCACUUUGAGAAGCCCGUGCGACCCCCAUCCCCUGGGGUGACUCUGUCUGAACCGACCCAGCGGAGCUCUCCAUGAGCCUCAGGGCUCGCACCUCCGAAGCCCCCCCCUGGACUUGCUCGGCGACGUGGAGCAGAAAACGCACUCGUGUGGAGAGGCAUGUGACAGAAGCAGCUGACCCCGAGGACGCUGCAAGCGCUUGACAGGUCACACACGACGAGCCGAACCGCCGGGCACACCGAGCACCCACCAGGCCGGGUGGGCGGUGGGGCCGCCGGGAUCCGCACCCCGCGCCAGACCCGCCUCCCGCAAACCAACCGCCAGGGCAACUCCAACGGCUCCUCUUUUGUUUUUGAACUCACACUCCACUCACCCAGCCCCGCUCUUCCCCUCCCUCCCGCCCCCGAGCAAGGCGGCGAUCCCCCCACGGCCUUCCCCGCCCACAAACAACCGCCGGGCCUCGGCCUCCCGCCCCCGCCGUGCCCCAGCCGGCCCCGGCUGCCAGGCAGCUCCCGCCACCGGCACAGCGAGACCCCGCACCCGGACCCGCACCUCGGCCGGGAACGGGACCGCAGGUCCUACCGCGGGGAACGUCCCAGCUCGGCUCCCACGGGAGGAGGCGAGACACGAGGCUGCUCCCGCCCACGGGCGAGCCGGGCCCGGCCCCGGGAGCCUCCGCCGCCGCCCCCUCCCCGCGGAGCCGGCUGGGCAUCCCCCGCCAGAAGGAAUCGGGGUGAGGGGGGGGGAGGGAGGACCAGCACACCCACCUCCUCCAUGAGCCCCGCGCUGGCCGCCGCGCCGAGCCCGCCGGGCCGCCUGUGACGGGCCAGACGGCGGCCCCGCGUCGCGCCGCGGGGAACGGCUGCGCCUCCCGACAGCGGCAGCAACAGGGCCUCGCUCUGGGCCGGACUUUGCCCGCGACAACUUCCGGGGCACGGCAAAAACGCUUUCCGGGGGCAGCGGCCGUUGAACGGUGAGGGGGGUGGCGACCGCCCCGUCACCCGUCCUGUCACCUGGUCCGGCCCCAGCCUGUUACCCGCCCGGCGGGGUCAACCGGCAGGGCUUCUCCCGGCAAACGGCGGGCAGUAAAGAGCGCGGCCCAGAGCGGUGCAGGGAGGCGGCCACGAAGCGGGUCUUACUGGUUUCUCAGGAAGGCGGUCAGCAUCCCGUGGUACCCAAACAGCAGCAGAGGUCAGAACUGCUGAACUGCUGGUGACUGGGGAGUGAUGCCCAUGCAGGGUAACACACAGUGGGCUGAGCCGACUCAAGGGUCACUGAUUUCUCCGUUUCAGGAGGAGGUGAGUCCCUGCUCCGUGCCCCAGCUGUAGCCUCCGGUCUGCCCAGCUGCGGCCAUUCCCGCGAUGGACCAAGGAACUCCUCCACGGAGCUGCAGCCAGACCCUGCUUGCAAACCGCUCUCCCGAGCGCCCCCUCCCAUGGCAUCCAGCGUGUGCCAGGGCUCCUGGUGGACAAGAAGAUGGCAAAUGGCCUCAAUUUGCACCAGGGGAGGUUCAGAGUGGAUAUCAGGAAAAAUUUAUUCCUGGAAAGGGUUGUCAGGCAUUGGAACAGGCUGCCCAGGAAGUGUAGGAGUCACCAUCCCUGGAGGUGUUUAAAAGGUGUUUAGAUGAGGUUCCUAGGGACAUGGUUUAGUGCCAGAGUUAGGUUAUGGUUGGACUUGAUGACCUUGAGGGUGUCUUCCAACCAAAAUGAUUCUAUGAAUCUAUGAAUACCAUGCCUAACCCACUCCUGGGAAGCAAAAGUUCCCUAUCUCUUUCUUUGCAUGAACUAGAUCUCACGUGACAGUGCUGCUCAGCCCUGCAGUAUUAUAGCUCUUCUUGUUAAAAUGAAGCAAGUUGGCAACACUGGCAUGUGGGCCAGUCUUUUGCAAGUUCUCACUGUCUUCAAAGAAAAAUUAAAUCUCCUGAGGUUAAUGUAAUUGCUAAUUAAAUUAACCUCUUUACUCCGUAAACAUUAACAAAGACAAAAAGAAGAAUGAUGCCAUUCCUGCUGUACAGAAACCUUUUCCUCCCAUGUGUGAUGACUGCCCUGCAGAUCUCCCUUUGGAAAGGGGGAAUGAUGGGCUUGAAUGUUGCUCUGCUGUGUAUUUUAAAGACAGAGCUGUAACCAGCUAAUCUAUUUGCAACUGGGAGAUGAGAGGGCAGCCCACCACAGCAGCACCUCGAGAGACUGUGCUCACCUCAGCAGGGGCUAUUGCACAUCUGCUUGGCCCUCGGGAUCCUGCCACCAUUGCACCACCAGCAGCUGUUGGUCUGUAGGAUCCAUGAUUCUGAUACAGAAAAUAAAAAAAUAUGACUGUAUAGAGAAUGCCCGUGCUAGAGGGGGUGGUCCUUUUAUUCUUUAAUCCAACCAAAUAUGAAAAACACAUGCAAUGUGUCUUAACUUCAAAAAUGCCCUUGGAAAACACAACACAGGUUUUCUACUUUUGGAAAUAAAUUCCAUUAUGUCUUCUCUGGAGACAUUCAAAACCCGCCCGGACUCCUUCCUGUGUAGCCUCAUCUCGGUGUUCCUGCUCUGGUGGGGGGAUUGGACUAGAUGAUCUUUUGAGGUCCCUUCCAAUCCCUGACAUUCUGUGAUUCUGUACAUUGCUCUCUAUAUACAGAAGUACAAAUCAAGCCCAACAUGUAUUUCCACAAAAACAAGAGAGGAAAAUACAACCAUGGCCAGUUUAUGCAGUGGUUCUGACUGUAUUUAAUCAAUGCUGGCCUCUGCCUGGACAGAAAUGAAGUGCAAGCAAGAUUUCAGAGGAAACUUUGGAAACCAGCGCAGUGCUGGGGCCCUCCCACUGCCGUUACUGCCCUAAGGGUGAAAGCGCAGACACGGGGAAUGGCCAAAAAAAAUAAUUCCUUCCAAAGAUAACCAAGUUUCUUUGCUGGCUCCUGCAGGUUUGAGUGCAUGUCAGGGGCCAUGGGCUGGCGGGUGGGCUGUGGCAGGCAGGGUGUCCUCUGCAGCAGCAGCUCCUGCUGCGCUUUGAAGCUGUUGACAGCCAGAGCGGGUAGAGCUGCUCUCACGGGCAGCCCCAAGGGUGUUUUUGGCAGCCUCCAUAGAUGUAUCCAAACAGACCCGCUCACCUCGCUCCUGCCACCAGGCUCGCGCCUGUGGAGCUUCUUGCUGCACAAAUACCUGGUUUUGGUGAGGGGCCUCAGGGCUUUGCCCUUCCCUUCUUAUGACUUGCCUGCCCUGUUUUGUCCUAUGGACACGCCACUAUAUCUGCAGCAGGAAGGAGAAGGGACGGGGACUGUGAUUCUCAUCUGAAACGCGAGUGUUGGCCAACGUGGAUGCUGUUGUGGCUUAAUGUGAGCUGGCAAUACAACCACGAUAGCUGCUCGCUCGCCUCCCUCCUCGCCCCCCAAAUAGGGGAGAAAAUCAAAAGGGAGAAACUUGGAUUGAGACAAACAGUUCAAUAAAACGAGAAAAUUCUAAUAUGCUACUAGUAAAUAUAUAUAUAUAUAUAUAUAAAAGAGAAAUAAAAGAUACUCAGGCAAUUCCUCACGAACUCCAUCCACACUGAGCAGCCAGUCCCAGGAAGCAGCAGCAGCACCUGGUCCCAAACAGCUGAUCCCAGAGAGAGAAAAGACAAAAAAGGCAGAAAGGCCCAGAGGCCUCUGCAAAAUGGCAAAAGGCCGAACUAAUGAAAGUCCUGAACAGAACUCCCCCAGCUUCAACAAAAAGAACCAAGAUAGUGAUGAAGACAAAAGAGACCAGAAUAUCCCCCCGCCUCCUUAAAUAUGAAGCAUGCUGCUAGUGGGCUGGAAUAGUCAUAUUGAUCAGUCUGGACAUCAGUCAAGCUCUGCCCCAUCUCUGCUCCCCUUCCUUGCUGCCUCACACCUGUGGGCAGAACGCUCAGAGUGUCCCUGGCUCUCAGACCAGAGCAAUUAAAAACAUGAGCUCUGUGCUGGGGUGUUAUCUCUUGUUGUCAAACUAAGUCCAAAUAAUGAUCACGCUAGCUAUGAAAAACAAAGGUUUCUAACUGCAUGAAGAAAAUUAACCCAUUUUCAGUCAAACCAGCACAGAUGCCCAUGGCCAACACAUGGAUUGUUCCCAAGACCCGCAAUCAGAGCCCAUGAAUACUUCUCUCCGAAGGACAGCAGUUUAGCAAGAGCCUGUUGCCACCGCUCAUUCCUCCGUGUCCCCAGGUCCCCCGGCAGUACCUGUCCUCCACUCCCACUCCAGUUUGCUCCACAGCUUCACCUGCUUUCCCCGCUCCAGCAGUGCGGCCACCAUAGGCAGAUGACCAGCAGGACAAGGAACUGCAGCAAGGAAAAGCAACGCAGUCAGGAACUGGGGAGGUGUGAUGAGACAGGCUGCUUCUGGGAGAAGCUUCCUGGUGACCAGAGAAUCACAGAACGUUAGGGAUUGGAAGGGACCUCAAAAGAUCAUCUAGUCCAAUCCCCCCACCAGAGCAGGAACACUUAGAUGAGGUUACACAGGAAUGUGUCCAGGCGGGUUUUGAAUGUCUCCAGAGUAGGAGACUCCACAACCCCCCUGGGCAGCCUGUUCCAGUGCUCUGGCACCCUCACCGAGAAGUUUCUUCUCAUACUUAAGUGGCACCUCCUGUGUUCAGUUUGAACCCAUUGGUCAGCUCAGACUGUGGAAGAGUGGCAGGGCUAGAGAGGGUGAAAAGUUGCAGACAGUGACAGCAAGUCUGUGUCAGCAGAGAUGGACUAAGCCGAUGGGAUCCUGACUUCUAAACUCCGGCAUUCAGGUGCUCAUUUUAACAAAGCAUGUUAAAAUGGAAGUUCCUGCCCCAUGUGCCCCCUGGAAGUCACAAGAGCAGACUUGGAGAAUCCCAGGCUGUGUCCCUAAAGGUUAUUUGAUCCAAGACGUUUCAUAGCUGCUGACAGCUGACACCUCUCAUGGACCUUCCCUGGAGCAGCCAGGGGUAGAAGACAAAAUGUGAGGAUUAGUCAAGACUUCAUGGUGCAUACAGCCUCUUAAUACUGAAACCACAGCUCUCCUGCACUUAUCUCAUCUCUUAACCUUCUCCCACUCCCUUUUGGUUCCUCUGCUUUGUAGCAACCAGAAACGCAGCCUCUUCAGUACAUGGGCAUUUUCCAAUACUUGAAGCAUCACUCCAAAAUUGUACAUAUAUGAUGUGGAAAGCCACAGCCAAAGUAACAUCACCUCAGAAUUUUGUUUAAACUCUCUCACAAUACCUACCAAAGGGGGAUUUGGCUAUCUAAACUCUGCUACUCAGAUUAUUAUAAAAUUAUUAUCAAAGUCCUGGUCUUAAUGCAGUUACUGCUCAUCAUGAAUCUACCACCAUUAACAACCUAACAGAAGCAGCCUGGAGAAACGGGCAUUGGACACAUGGUCCGCACCGACUGAAAUUGAGGAAAUCACCUAAAUGGAGCAGUUUUCAAAGCAGCCACUUUCAGAGUCACAAGUAAGUUGUGGCAUAUGGCCGGCUAUGGGGGGAAACCUUCUUAGGAACAAAGCGGAAUGAAAAAAUCUGCGCAAUGAGAUGACGUGGGAAGGACUGGAAAUGGCUCUUGCCUACAGCAAAGGGCUGGGAGUGCCAUGAAGGAUACAGGUGCUGAACCCACUUCUACCAGCCUAUUUUGGGGGGCUGCUGCCCCUGUGACGUAACUGUUGAGCCCAGCCUCUGCCCAGGCAUGUGGUUUAGGUGAAGCUUUAUCAUAUGCAGCUGUUGUGAAAGAAACGGUGCCCAGGCAGCUCCUCACAGACUCGAGUCCCUCACCCGUUUUACAGCUCCCUCAGACAGCACACAGGCACUGUUUUGAUAAAUAAAGAACAACUCCCAACUCCAGACUCCCAGCAAAAUGACCAGGUGCCUUAGCAUCCUUACCUAGGUCAAGUCAAGUCCAAGAUUUAAUUCCAGAAUUUGUGCUUUUAAAUUUUUCAAUUUUUAUCAACUUGAAAAGAGGUGGGAACAGUUUUAUUCAUCAGAGUGUCACAUACAGUCUCACAAGAGCUGCCCUCACACGUGUGUCGUGUAAGAUGUUCCCCAAGCUUCUUCCAGUCCUGGAAAGGAUCAACCCAAGUGGGUGCUGAGGCCACCAGCUCCAAGGACCAGGCGCAGCUGGAGGCAGCACAGACCUGGCUCCAGCGAUGACACCAAACCAAUCUCUCUCAUGUUGGCCCCCAUGGUUUUAACAGACUAUUAAUUUAAUUGUUGUUUUGGUUUUGGCAGCUUGCCAGUUUUCUAAAUAAAGAUGUGAAUUUAUAUAAACUUUCCCUUCUUCAGUAAUGCACCCAAGCCCCACACAGUGAAAAAUCUGAGAUAGUUUGUGCUGUCAUUAUAACAAAAAAAAAAUGGCGAGGGAGGUGGUAAUGUAGAGGGGUUAAGAGUUUUAUUUCUAAAUAAAUUUGAGCAAAACGCAUAAAAUUAUUGUUUUCUUUUUAUUUCCCAAAUAGCUUCACUGAAUGGAACAGUCAGGAGAGAACCUAAAAUGAGGAGGGCACAGUAGGGAUCCCACAUGACAGAAAAAGGAAUCAAAAAUCUGAAGUAUCAGACUGUUCGCUACCACUGUGAAAGAAACACCAACAAACUUGUACUGGACUCCAGCUGAGAUGGAAGGCAGCCAGCAGACAGCUUUAAUCCUUAUGGAGAAUUUUUAUGUACAGGCUUCAUUCCCACAAACAGCCCACUCCUCUCAAAUUAAACGUUUUUAAAGUUCCUUUUAAUGUCAGUUAUAGUGAUCUGUGAGCUCAAAAUAUAGCUUUUGUUGUAGAAUAAAAGGCUAAUCGCUCUCAUCUGGUUAAAUAGCUGCUAAUAAAACAUUGGUCUUCUCUGACCCUUUUCAUUCUAAGUAUUUUAUGUAUUUAAAAAAGGGCCCAGCACACAAUUUAGACAUUAUUUCCAACAGUUUCUUCUGCAGAGCUCUGUUGGCUGUUCCACACCAUUCACCAUUUUCACUACGCUUACGCUGUGGGUCUGUGAGAAAAUGGGAGCUGCGGACCUACAUCUCGCAAAGAUGCCCAGCUAAAGUGAUUCAGGAGAGUGAGAACUACAGAUUUAAUUACACAUAGGCUGCAAUUAACAUUUUGAGGUGGGAGCCCAAGUCCUGUACAGCUCGAUCCAUGAAUAAGGAUUCUGUUUGGGAUGAAUGGUCUCUGUUCUCAUCCCCUCCAACCAACGCGGAUCUGUGACGCAUCCAGGCAGAACCACGUAUUUUUUAAAUGAAGCACAGUCUGUAGAUUGUAAAAGGUGUUGAGGGCAGCUGCCUGUCUGUCAAAAAGAAGUAGAUGGCUAAAUAGGGAAAGGGAACACCAGCGAGCUUUGGAAACUGGUUUUAAGCAUCAUUUUAACCAUUCUGAAAUACAGUAACUCUGCAGAGCUCCCCGAUCCUUCAGAGGCAAAUGCUGCCUGGGAACCCCCCCAUCUUCUGCCGGGUUCUGGAGACGCCGUCAGCUACAGCCAACAUUUUCUGUGCGGACAGCGUCUUCCAGUGUUUUCAGUGUCAAAGGCUUUUUGAGCAUUAAAACAUUUCUUUCACUCCAAGUGUAUUAUAUGGGAAAACAUGCACAGGAAUUUAACAGCAGCGCACUGAAGAGGCAUUCAAAUAAUAUGGAGAAAAUAAGGAAAGAAACAAGGACUUUUUCAUGAGGUGUCAAGGUAAGGACGAGAAAAAUAGAGCUUGUUUAUUUUGUGGGAAAAGGGGAAGAAGCAACUGCCAUCUCCUUAAACUUAGAGCAGUUGGGGAUUAUUACAUCUAGUUCUGUUGACAAAGCCUGUAGCUCAUAAGGAGGUGGAUAUGUGUGAUGCACGACCAACGUAGGGACAUCACAUUAAUGAGGGUCCCAGACAUAUAACAAUGUUACUCAUCUAUCCAAUGCCUCAUUUGUAAAAAAUAAUUAAAAGGGAUAGCAAUCUUCUACCUGCAGCAAAAAGACACUUAUUUCUAUGAAUAAAAAUGCUCUGCAAUAGUUUUUCAUGCCGUCUCUCCAGGAGCACUAAAAGAGGAGAGUAAGAAAGGCAGAGAAUUCUUGAUCACUUUUGAACACCAUACACUCAGUGUCUCAGCAUUAAAAGCAUGGACUAGCAUCUCUGUUUUCUAUAAUAUUAUACAUUAUGUUACGUGACCAAAAGGGAGUUUCUUCUCUGAUUUACUUCCAGCUCAACCUUAACCAGCAAAAGUUCCACCUGUUUGGUUGGCACCAGCCCCCCCUCCCAGCCCAUCACACUCUCAGCUUGCAACACCCUUGAAAAUAAACGUCCUGCCCUCUCCUCGCUGCUGCCUCAAACUCCUCCUGUGCCUUUCCCAAACCCCUCUUUUCACCUCCAGUCUAAGAAAGGAAAUAUCAAUACAUUUUAUUAAUAUAAUAAUAAAAUAAAACAUUAACAUAUUGUUACCUCAUUCUCACUUCGGUUUUUCUCCAUUGCCUCUCUGAAGGCUCCCUCUUCUACAUCUCCCAACAACUUAAUUUUCUAGUACGUGUGGCAGGCUUAUCGUCUCAUCUCCAGCCAUUUACUCACAUUUUUAAGAAUCAAUUGCUUGCUUGUGCACCUUCAAAGAGCUAAAACAGAUAAAUUUUGAUUAUACUGAUACACUUCCUUCCUCUUGCACUCCCAGGUAAACAUCCAUGUCUUACACGGCAAGCUCUCCAGAGCAGCAGCGGCCUUACCUGCUCUCAGAGCAUGAAUGAGCAUCAACUCUUUAAGUUCUUCAGGAUGUUUGGGGUAACCUGUGUUGUUAGUCAAGGUGCAUUCAGAAAUUCAAGCAGGCGUGUUGUGCUUUAACCACCUUAGGAGAUGCCAAAGCCACUGUCAGGGGUGCUGAGUGUGCAGACCACACUCCUUUAACAAAUACGCUAUGCUACCAGGUGGUUAUCUGUGGAAGAACGCAGAUGUUAACUCGGCAAACACAUCUCCCAGUUGACUGCCUUAUUUCCCAGAGUGUGAUGCUACAGGCCCUCAAGAGGACUUGGCUAAUUCCCACAUGUAAGACAGACGCUCUGUCCCCAAAACUAUUGUCAAUGUUUCCUUUCCUGGCAUGUCAUGAUUAGUUAUAGUCCAGCAUUUCAGGAUAAAUUGGGAAUAAAGACAUUCGGGUAUUUGCAUCUGAUUUCCCUGUAAUAAUGUUUGUAAAAAAGGUAUCUUUGUGAUCAUAAGCUACACAUAUAUCCAGGCCUUGCUUUACUCAGCCUGUGCUGCACAAACUUACCUUCCACAUCUUCAGACACUUUGCUCUGUUGACUUUUUUGGAACUUGAUUUGUAUUCUGCUGCUCUCCUCCUUUACAACUUACCAUCUCUCCUGGACCAGCUGCAAAAUGACGAAAAGGUUUGAAAGACAAACCAGGGGAGAGUAAAAAGAUAGAGAACAGGAAUAAUACCCUGAGCAUCUCUUCCCUCCCCAAAUGUAACAGGAGUCAAAAAGGACACUUCUAACUAUUUACUCAAGGUCUGCUUCCCGGCAGGCACUUGGGUGUCUUUUGUUUCCACAGAUUUCAACAACUCAAGCCUGUCCCCAGCCAGCAAUGCUCCUCUGCUGACAAGAAACGAAGCAGGAUGCCGCUUUGCCAAAGCUCAGCAGUGCCUUCAGCCAGGCUGCGCCGAACGGGUGCAGCAGCACGAGGGGAUAUCUUCUCUUUGCACAAAGACACCCUGGGGACAUCGCUGUCCCAUGGCCUGGCUGCACCACGCAUAGCCCAACACCUGCACAAGGUCUCCAGGGCUCCCUCACAGGAACAGCUCCUGCAGUCCACAGAUCGCCCUUCCAUCGCAGCCCCUCAGAGCACAGGAUGGAUGGGAAGGGUCAGCUCUGUUCUGCAGCCAAUCCGCCAGCAUGAAGAGGUGGCAGAGAAGAGGUUCUGCACCCCUUUCCACAUCACUGGGCACUGGAGCAGGGGGAACAAGCAAGGACAACAAUUCAAGGGAUUAUGUUUUCCCCAGAGAGCCUCCAGGAAAGGAAAAACAAACCCAACCAUAUUCAGAAUGUUUACUUUCCUCGUUCUUCUGAAACAGUUUCAAAUCAGACCUUGACAAUCUGGCGCCCUGGUUAGUUAACCUGUGCUUGAAUGCUUCCCCAACAAAUUCAUCCACGCGCUACUGAAUCCUCACUGUGUUUACCUCUGAGUACACAGCCCGUGCUUUUGGGGACAGGAUGCUUUAUAACACAACUCUCUGCCAUUCAGCAACAGGAACUGCUGAACACCCUAACACAGAGGAAAAUUCCAGCAAGGUAUUUUAAAAUAACGAGUUAGCAAUGAUUUUCCCCACGCUCUCCACGCAGAAGGAAGCCUGGAGUCCUCCGAGCCCAACACUCCUUUCAGCACGUCCAAACUUUCACACUGUCAAUGAAGCUGAGCUAUAACCCACGCUCACCUGGCUAAAAACCCAGGUUAACUGUGCAAUUCAGACAUAGUGCAGUAAAUAAUCAGUGGCCAAGUUUGUUUUCCUACCUGUUGCUUGCUAUUUUGAACAAUUAAAAUUUGAACCAUUUAGAGCAAGCAAAUGUUAUUUUUAUCACAGGUUUAGGGCGCGAGUCACAAGAAAUCCAGGUUCAUUUCCUAAUGAGUGAUAUUGUUUCCUCCACACAGACCCAUACAGUCACCCCCCUUCAUUCACUCAAAAAUGUUCAAAUAAAAUCAUGAACGUUGUGAUUUUCCAAGCCAA